rnacentral:rRNA from 1 species
UACGUAGGGUCCGAGCGUUGUCCGGAAUUACUGGGCGUAAAGAGCUCGUAGGUGGUUUGUCGCGUUGUUCGUGAAAACUCACAGCUCAACUGUGGGCGUGCGGGCGAUACGGGCAGACUUGAGUACUGCAGGGGAGACUGGAAUUCCUGGUGUAGCGGUGGAAUGCGCAGAUAUCGGGAGGAACACCUGUGGCGAAAGCGGCUCACUGGACCAUUACUGACGCUGAUGCUCGAAAGCUAGGGGAGCAAACAGG